rnacentral:rRNA from 1 species
ACCCUACAAUCAAAUAGAUUGUCCCAAGGUCGCCAUAUUCUAGGAGCCCAAGUUAUGCUAUUGAAAAUUUGUUCCUCUAGCAGUUCCGGUUUGAGCAUUCAGUUCCCUUUUUCAAACUCCACUUAUUUUCAUAUAGCAUCCCUGAUCAAAGAGAGAACAAUAUCCAUUUCAAAACAUUUCUAACAGAUUCCUUAGUUCGGACCGACGAAGUAA